AUUGUCUGAAUUAACUUUUAUAGUGAACCCCACAACCUUUUGUUUCCUAUGGGUUCUAUUGUGUGACUCAAAGGGAAUCAAUAAACAAGACAAAAGGAUGAUUAAAAUCAAGAAUAAUGUGUGUGGUUCCAGAUGAUCACCAUCCAUUUUGUUUAAGGCAAGAACCAUCUUCCCAGGGUCAUCAAAUAGCCUUUCAAAGAGCUUAAGGGAUAUAGAAUAGUAACUGGGACAUCGAAUUUGAAAGAAGCAAUAGCUCUGUUUUGGCGAAUAAACUACAGGGUAAAAGAAGAAGAAGAAGGAGGAGG